rnacentral:rRNA from 1 species
GAUGAACGCUGGCGGCGUGCCUAAUACAUGCAAGUCGAGCGAACAGAUGAGGAGCUUGCUCCUCUGACGUUAGCGGCGGACGGGUGAGUAACACGUGGAUAACCUACCUAUAAGACUGGGAUAACUUCGGGAAACCGGAGCUAAUACCGGAUAAUAUAUUGAACCGCAUGGUUCAAUAGUGAAAGACGGUUUUGCUGUCACUUAUAGAUGGAUCCGCGCCGCAUUAGCUAGUUGGUAAGGUAACGGCUUACCAAGGCAACGAUGCGUAGCCGACCUGAGAGGGUGAUCGCCCACACUGGAACUGAGCCACGGUCCAGACUCCUACGGGAGGCAGCAGUAGGGAAUCUUCCGCAAUGGGCGAAAGCCUGACGGAGCAACGCCGCGUGAGUGAUGAAGGUCUUCGGAUCGUAAAACUCUGUUAUUAGGGAAGAACAAAUGUGUAAGUAACUAUGCACGUCUUGACGGUACCUAAUCAGAAAGCCACGGCUAACUACGUG